ensembl:lncRNA
CUUCAUUAUCAGGUGGAUUUUAACGCAGGGAAAGCUUCAUUAACAGGUGGAUUUUAACGCAGGGAAAGCUUCAUUAACAGGUGGAUUUUAACGCAGGGAAAGCUUCAUUAACAGGUGGAUUUUAACGCAGGGAAAGCUUCAUUAACAGGUGGAUUUUAACUCAGGGAAAGCUUCAUUAACAGGUGGAUUUUAACGCAGGGAAAGCUUCAUCAGCAGGUGGAUUUCAUGCCAGAUUGAAGGUGACUCUGCUCUUCAUCUUCUCCCAUCUAGAAGCUGUUUGGUGAACGUGACCAUUACUCAGGAAGCCUCCCCUCGGGAUCGAACCUCUGCAGGAAAAACCUCCAGACCACCAAACCAGGCCUCUGGGACUCAUCUGACCCACUUCAAACGGGUCAACAGGACUCAGCUGGAAUUCAUGUGAUUUAUUCUGUCUGUUCAAACACAGUUCACCUUUAGCCUGUUUACCUGCAGGAGGGAGAGCCAAACAGAACAGAACACCACAGAACACUAAACAGAAAACUUUAAAUACUCAUUUUUUUAAUGUCUGAUUCAUUUGAAGAUCUCUGUUGGUGACUCUGCAUGAUUCUAAAAUUACCGCAAUAAAAUGCUGAUUUUAUCAAAAAACUUCACCACAACUAGCUGGAUUGGAGAAUAUUCCAGAUCACACAACUUAGUUUUGAGUCAGCAGAAGCUAAAAAUCAUUUAAAUGGGAGGAAUAGUCAUGUUUCCGUGAUCUCUGGGGUCACGUAUGUUAUAAACGCAGAACACUCCGUCACUGGUGCUAAUGUGGCAGCUUGGCUUUCUAAGGCUGAAGGUAAUCCUUUAUUUAGACGCUUCCAGCUGACACCGCUCACUCUCUCCUACAGAGAACUUCCUGUUUCUGUCUUUGUAUGUUUCUGUCUCAUAGAUAGACACAUAAACACACCAUUGGUCAAACAUCUAAACAGUUAAUCCACCUUGAACCCAGCGUCUGAUCUCCGUUAAGGCUAAAGUCUUAACACUGAGUCUGGAGAGUCACAGACUCAGGCUGUCUGCAGUGAACAAAGCCUUCAAAUCAACACCGUCAGACGGUUAUCAGCUGUUCUCAGUGUGAUGAGGAAUCAGAUAGAUGGUAGUCCGACCAGCUGAAGGCUGUUUGGCUGAUUAACAGUCUAAUUGCACCAUUUUUCUGUGUUGAAACCACGAAAAUUUGAGUUUAUGUUGAUUCCUUUCUUGCUAAACCAAAGAUUCCAGGUAUUUG